ACUGGUUAACAUGCAGUAAUUUGUUCUGUGUGUGAAAGGUGUGUGUGCAGCUGCUGGAGUGCAAGUGAUAGAUUCUCCACUGCUGACUCAGCAGAUUGAAGCUCAGCGACUCAGUUUAAAGCACCUAAAGAACGAGAACAACAGACUAAAGGCAGAAAAGAUGCGUGCUCAGCUGGCAUCUCUUCCUCCUCUGAACGUGCCAAAGCUGGGCUGGCGAGAGGGCUGCAGGCCUGAGGUGCUGUCUAGCGCCCUCUACCGCAAAACAGACCAACUGCUGGAUACUCUCCUCCAGAUGAGUGCCAAUGUGAAAGUGGUGGACAUCACUGGGAAAUCUCCAGUGAGUCCCAGUGCACAGCUCCUCGAGCAAACAGCAAGACUGCAGU